AUGAGGCAAGGCGCACACUCAGCUCACCGCAAGUACACCUACGCCGCCGCCUCCCCGGGGGGCUGCAAGGUGAAGUGGACGGCCGAGGAGAAGCCGCACGGUGGGGCUGGGCUCUCAAGUGGGAGGCGGAGCUCGCCUCCCCCCAACAACGUUAGCUUUGAUCACAAGUGGAAGUGGGAGCCCAAGUCCAAGCCCGGUGCCGCCAGCAAGGCCAAGACCAAGCUCGAGGAAGCCAACGAGGAUGACAAGAAUAUGCCGGCGAUGAAGUGCACGCACAUCGAGGAGGUCCUCGCCGGCUGCAACGCCAUCCGCAAGGAUGAUGACUAUCUAAUGGUGAUUCCCUAUUCCCACAUUUUUUGCCCUCAUGUUGCAAGCUCUAAAGCUGCCCCUGCAAUUUACCAUCACAAGACAUGUCUGGGCAGCAAGUCUCCUGUGACGGUUACUUCUAAUUCGUUGUUACAAUUGUUUGAUGGUUUGCUUGUUCCAACCUCGAUAUCAUGGUUUGCUUGUUCCAACCUCGAUAUCUGCCUUUAG
rnacentral:rRNA from 1 species